UGGGGAAUAUUGGACAAUGGGGGCAACCCUGAUCCAGCCAUGCCGCGUGGGUGAAGAAGGCCUUAGGGUUGUAAAGCCCUUUCAGCGGGGAAGAUGAUGACGGUACCCGCAGAAGAAGCCCCGGCUAACUCCGUGCCAGCAGCCGCGGUAAUACGGAGGGGGCAAGCGUUGUUCGGAAUUACUGGGCGUAAAGGGCGCGUAGGCGGCCGGUCGCGUCGGGCGUGAAAGCCCCGGGCUCAACCUGGGAACAGCGCUUGAUACGGGCUGGCUGGAGAUCGGGAGAGGAGUGUGGAAUUCCGAGUGUAGAGGUGAAAUUCGUAGAUAUUCGGAGGAACACCAGUGGCGAAGGCGGCUCACUGGCUCGAUACUGACGCUGAGGUGCGAAAGCGUGGGGAGCAAACAGGAUUAGAUACCCGUGUAGUCC
rnacentral:rRNA from 1 species